AUAUUCAAUUUGGAAUGCGAUUUUGUUAAUAAAAAAAAUACUUAUAACUUAUGCAAAACCCAAGAGAGGCAUUUAUAUUUAUUUCUUUUGCGUUCAUUUUCAAAUUCGCCGUGCAUAUAUUUUUGUGCAUGGCGCUUGAGAGGGCAUCACGUGACUAAAAACGACCAACCAACGACCUCGCUUCGGCCAUCUUGGCAUCUUCAUCUUGGCCACCUUGCUUUGCCGUGGGUGGAUCGUUGUUUGUAUUAUUUGUGCUUUUUAAGAAUAUUUUUUUAAUUCGGAUACUUUUAUAAUAGCUUUAAUAGUAUUAUUAACAUAGUGAAUAAAAUGGUGUCCUGUUUUUAACGCAGUUGGAGUAGCAGAAACAAAUGUAGAUAAAAAAAUCUGCAGGAAUAACGUUUCAAUUAUGACAGAAGCUCCAAACAAAUGACUGUGAAUGAAAAGCCCUAUUAAAAGCUUUCCAGAAGAUCCUGCGAAAAAGACAUGAAGUAUAGAUCAGAUUUGUUAAUAGAGGAGUAUGUUAAAAACACUUUUUAGAAAAAGAUAUUGACAGAACUUCACUUUCAUCUGUUCGUUUAAGAGACUGUGCUGUUCCAAUAGCUUAUGUCACACAGAAUCAGCUGAGAGAAGUGGUCUACAAAAAACCAGAAAGGAAACGGAAUAUGUGGCUACGAAAAGCAAAAGAAAGGUUUACAAAGCAAAUGUGACACAUUUUUUUAUAAUAUUUAAGAAUGUCAGUAAAUUACAUUAAAAAAUGUAUGUAAAGAUUUUUUGCAAUAAAAAUGUUCAUAUUUAUCAAGGAUGUAUUAUUUGGUAUGGCCACAUAUCCUCAGUGAUGUGACAAUACCUCCUAUCUGUUUUUUUCAAGAGAUUUGUAAGAUAGACUAAAAACUUGUUUCGGCCACCUCCUGUUUUCAUAUAUCUUUUGACUUGUUUUGCAGUAAAUUCAACUAUCUAUUUACUACAAAAAAGUCAGAAUACGUACGAAAACAGAAAGUGACCUUAAAAAAUGU